GAGUUUGAUCUUGGCUCAGGAUAAACGCUGGCGGCGUGCCUAAUGCAUGCAAGUCGAACGGUCUAGCUCGCAAGGGCUAGGUAGUGGCAAACGGGUGAGUAACACGUGGGGAUCUGCCCAGUAGUGGGGAACAACUCCGAGAAAUCGGAGCUAAUACCGCAUACGGUCUGUGUCGAAGGACACGAGACUAAAGCUCGCAAGGGCGCUAUUGGAGGAACCUGCGGCUGAUUAGCUAGUUGGUGGGGUAAAGGCCUACCAAGGCGAUGAUCAGUAGCUGGUCUGAGAGGAUGGACAGCCACACUGGGACUGAGAUACGGCCCAGACUCCUACGGAGGCGAGCAGCAAGGAAGUUUUACGUUCAAUGGGGGAAACCCGUACGAACGAGCAACGACCGCGUGGGCGAAGAAAGUC
rnacentral:rRNA from 1 species